UACGUAGGGGACAAGCGUUAUCCGGAAUCAUUGGGCGUAAAGCGCAUGUAGGCGGUUUGACAAGUUGGUUGUGAAAGCUCACGGCUCAACCGAGAGAGGCCAAUCAAGACUGUCAGACUUGAGUGAGAGAGAGGGGAGCGGAAUUCCCGGUGUAGUGGUGGAAUGCGUAGAGAUCGGGAGGAACACCAGUGGCGAAAGCGGCUCUCUGGGUCUUGACUGACGCUGAGAUGCGAAAGCGUGGGGAGCGAACGGG
rnacentral:rRNA from 1 species